AAGUCGUAACAAGGUACCUUCCACGGAAGCCUUGUCCGCCCCAGUCUGCCUCUGAGGCAGGCGACACUUGCCUGGAGCUGGAAACUUGCCUCUUGUCAGGGGCGAGCGAUCAGCUGCUGCGUGCCCGGCGCACGUAGUCCACAGAUCAAACGCAGGUGGCCCGUCGCGGGUUCAGAUAUGACCGUAGCAGUUCUGCGAAGAUCUGGUCGGCUAGUUCCGUAGGUGAACCUGCGGAAGGAUCAUUAAUGAGAGGGGGGCUUCGUGCUCCAGGGGGCUUCCCGCCCCCGAACCUUUCCACCCAAUGUGUAUUUACCUUUGUUGCUUUGGCGAGCCCCGGGGGAUUUCCUCGGCGCUGGCAUCCUCCUUGGGUGCUCGCGAGCGUUCGUCAGAGGCCCAUCUUAAACCUGUUUAUCAGUGCAGUCUGAGCUUAUGAAAAAUAAAACAAAACUUUCAACAACGGAUCUCUUGGUUCUG
rnacentral:misc_RNA from 1 species